UACGGAGGGGGCUAGCGUUGUUCGGAAUUACUGGGCGUAAAGCGCACGUAGGCGGCUUUGUAAGUUAGAGGUGAAAGCCCGGGGCUCAACUCCGGAAUUGCCUUUAAGACUGCAUCGCUAGAAUUGUGGAGAGGUAAGUGGAAUUCCGAGUGUAGAGGUGAAAUUCGUAGAUAUUCGGAAGAACACCAGUGGCGAAGGCGGCUUCCUGGACCAAUACUGACGAUCAGGUGCGAAAGCGUGGGGAGCAAACAGG
rnacentral:rRNA from 1 species